GUCAGGAGAGGGGGAAGACAUGCAGGAAAUAGUCACAGAUCAGAUUCAAACCCUGGAUCACUGCAUCAAGGCAUAAACCUCUCAGUAUAUGUGCGCCGGCUCAACCACUGAGCCAACCUGGCCACAUG